CUUGGAGGAUUUCCGCCUGAAAAAGUCCAGUGGCUUUCAUAUAUGCUCCAUGGCAGAAAUCACCUCUCUGCCAGUAUAUCCUGGCUCACCUGUAGCAUAACUUUGCUGGAAGAAGUGUACAGCUGUCAUUACGAAGUGUUUAGUUUACAUAUUCUCCACUUCCCAAACUGUUUGGUCACAUUUUACUUCAGUCACAGCUGCUGAGAAUUCCAUCAGAUGGGAUAGGGGAAAAAGCAAUUUCAUAUUUCAAGGUUCUCAGCCGUACCUUCCUAGUAGUUGAGUAUAUAAGGAGCCUCAGUUCCAAAAAACCAGGAGUACAUGAAGAAAUAUCCACUGAAAUCAUAUUUUUGAUCUGUGGCUCAGGGUUUGUUUCUUCAACUCUAGCUUACACUUAACACUCAACACUGUGUUUAUAGAGGUGAAAGUUGCCUCAUAGUGAAAUUUUCACUAAAAGCCUAGUUUGUUGGGAUUCUAGUGGACAGAAGGAACCCAAACCUGAUAGAGACCCAAAGACUUUUAAUCAGGAGGCAAAGGUUGCAUUCAUAGCACCAAGCAGGUCAGUCCUAUUCUCUCCUCUGACAUCUCAUACCCAGAUUUCUGCAGGAGCUCAGCUGCAUGAGUGCCAAGCAACCAGCACAAAAAAGGUUUGUGUGCUUUCAGCAGAUAUUCAGGACUGUGCUCCCAGUGCUUUCACAGCUGAGCUAUUGGCAGCAUCUUAUUACACAUUUUCCAGCAGAGAAAAUCUUUUCCAGACCACUGAUUUCUUUUUCUUUGCAUGUGCCAAUGUACUCAAGUGGCUCCACACUUGGUAGAAACAGUUUCCCAUAUGAUGCUGAAGGAUUGAAGGAUCUGGGGUUUAGGCUGGGAGCCCUUUGUGGAAUACAGGAAUCUACUUCCUGUGAUGGGACUUCUUUAAAUCACUGGCUAAAGUCAAGCUCUGGGUCACAAGAAUUUUGUCCACAUCUGAAGGCCAUCCCCGGCAGCUUCAUUCAUUAGGCUUAUGGAAUUCUGUUUCAAACCUCAAAGCAAAACCUUUUUUCAAAGGUUUUCACAAAUUCACAAAUUUGAAGUAGAACAGAGGAAAACCAUUCUGAUUUUAAGAAAAUCAAAUCCUGUUACUCCCCUUUUGAUGGUUCCUUCUGCUCACAGUGUGAAGAGCUAAUUUCUUGCAUCACCUUCUGUUAAACACUCCUACAAAAAAAAAAUUGCAUUUCAGGUGUAACUAUGUUAUUUCUGAGGCUAAAGUCACACAAGCUGUUGUGUUGAGUACAGAUUAAAUCAUUCCAGUCUCCA
rnacentral:lncRNA from 1 species